CCUACGGGUGGCAGCAGUGAGGAAUAUUGGUCAAUGGGCGCGAGCCUGAACCAGCCAAGUCGCGUGAGGGAAGACGGUCCUAUGGAUUGUAAACCUCUUUUGUCGGGGAGCAAGGCCCGCCACUUGUGUCGGUCCGGAGAGUACCCGAAGACAAAGCAUCGGCUGACUCCGUGCCAGCAGCCGCGGUACUACGGAGGAUGCGAGCGUUAUCCGGCUUUAUUGGGUUAAAAGGGUGCGUAGGCGGAAGGUUAAGUCCGCGGUCAAAUGUCGGUGCUCAACACCGGCCUGCCGUUGAAACUGGUCUGCUUGAGUGAGCGAGAAGUAGGCGGAAUGCGUGGUGUAGCGGUGAAAUGCAUAGAUAUCACGCAGAACUCCGAUUGCGAAGGCAGCAUACCGGCGCGCAACUGACGCUGAGGCACGAAAGCGUGGGGAUCGAACAGGAUUAGAUACCCCAGUAGUC
rnacentral:rRNA from 1 species